GGGGUAUGGAACCCAGACAUCUUUUUCUUAAGACCGAGAGGACCACGCACCUCAUAUUUACUAUUGUCGAUCCUACGUUGCCCAGCACCUUUCUUUGGCUCUCCUGUUCUGGGACUUGAACCCAGCACCUUAUGUAUGCCAGGCAAGCGCUGUGCCACCAUGCCAUAUCCCACCCUUAUUACUGCUGAAGUCUACUGAACUAGCCCUGAGCCAGGGCCCACCAAGAGCUUCGUAUUCACUUGAGAAAUGAAGACCUUUCCAGAUGAAGAUGGAGACAGCUUCAUUCCCAGAAGAAAUGGCCAAAAGGGAAGAACGUGAGAUGGUCUCUAGGACCCACACGAGGAAACAAGCAGCAGCCAGCACAUGGGCGGCUCUAGAAGAUGGCGUGUCUACCACCUGCACUCUGCACUCUGAAAGGACCAGCUGCUCGGGGGAGGAGGAUGACAUCACCCACAGUGGGCUGAGCCCUCCCACAUCAAUCAUUACUCAAGAAAAUGCCACUUACUACAGACAGUCUGAUGGAGGUGGUCCUCAGCUAAGUGUCCCUCUUCCCAAUGACUCUAGCUUUUGUAGGGUUGUCAGAAACGAACCAGCAAACACAGGCGUAAUGUUUGUUGUCAACUUGACUACAUCUGGAAUUAACUAAAAACACUAAAAUGGAGGGCAUGCCUGUGAGAAAUUUUUGCUUAAUUUGAAGUGGGGAGUUCUACUUCUAAUCUGGAUCUGUGAGGUAGGAAGACAUGCUUUUAAUCCAUAUCUCUUGAGCUGGGAAGACCCACUUCUAAUCUGGGCCAGGUCUUCUUCUGGCAGCUCAUGUAAGGGCAUGGGAGAAGGAAGCUUUGCUCUUGGCCUGCUCGCCCUCGCUCUCACAGGCAAGUCCAUCCUUCACCGCCAUUAGAGCCGAUUUCUUCAGAAUUCCAGGGUACACUGAAGACCAGCUGAGACAUCCAGCUCUGUGGGCCGAGCGACUGAUGGGAUCUUAGACUUUAUGUUCAUAACUGGCCAUUGUUGGAUUAGCUAGACCACAGCCUGUAAGUCAUUCUAAUAAAUCCCUAUCUAUCAUCCAUCCAUCUAUCCAUCUAUUAUCUAUC